UAGCAUUCCUUCAUGCCGUCCCCACCCGUAAGCAGCGAAAGGGCAAGCAUUAGCAGUGAACCCAAGGCUAUUAUACAGGAGAGACGGUCAUUCUUAUAUAGGGACAGCGAGAUCAUGGAGGAAACUCAAUCCCUCCGCUCGCAAAGGAUUCUGCAUCCGAGAGCACAAGCAACUUCCCAUGUGCCAGAGUAGCCAAAAAGGCAUACAAGGUAUACACGACAGCCGCUGUAUGGUUCAUCCAAUGCCACCUUUGACGGGGAAAAGAUGAAUAACUGAGUAAGAAAUUGGAUUCCACUACGUGGGUAUGCAGCACAGAAACCCAUCCUUGCCCGACAUAGCAACAUGCCUUCGGGACAUCACUGAGUGGCCUCAAGGUAGACAGUUCGAUGCACAAGCAUGGAGCCUGCCAACCCCAACAGCC
rnacentral:misc_RNA from 1 species